UCGCCAGACUCCUACGGGAGGCAGCAGUGAGGAAUAUUGGUCAAUGGCCGAGAGGCUGAACCAGCCAAGUCGCGUGAGGGAAGACGGCCCUACGGGUUGUAAACCUCUUUUGUCGGGGAGCAAAGCGAGUCACGUGUGACUCAUUGAGAGUACCCGAAGAAAAAGCAUCGGCUAACUCCGUGCCAGCAGCCGCGGUAAUACGGAGGAUGCGAGCGUUAUCCGGAUUUAUUGGGUUUAAAGGGUGCGCAGGCGGAGGUGCAAGUCAGCGGUCAAAUUGCGGGGCUCACCCCCGUACUGCCGUUGAAACUGCAUCCCUUGAGUGCGCGAGAAGUAUGCGGAAUGCGCGGUGUAGCGGUGAAAUGCAUAGAUAUCGCGCAGAACCCCGAUUGCGAAGGCAGCGUGCCGUGCCGCCACUGACGCUGAGGCACGAAAGCGCGGGGAUCGAACAGGAUUAGAUACCCUCGUAUG
rnacentral:rRNA from 1 species